ensembl:lncRNA
GCACAUUUAAUGACUGUAUGAGAUUGCUUGAAACAGAUGCUGUAGACGUCCAAUCUACAUUGACCAGGUUGGAAACCAUGGAGAGGACCCUAGUGUGGUCACGGGGAAGGCUGCUUGACAUCUCCUCAGCUGAUCUUAUAAUUCGAGAUGUUCGGGAGAUUAUAGCUGAAGUUCGGAGAUCUGUGCCUACCACUCCGGGACAACAAGGCUACCAGGCACCUCUCAUUUGGACCGGAGGUCGUGGUCCCCCACAGUUAAAAAUAUCACAGGAGCAACUGUGUUUUUUGAGGACCUGUGGUUUCACUGGGAAACAGAUGGCACAGAUUCUGGGUGUCUCUGUUCGUACACUGAGCCGUCGUUUAAGGCAGUUCAACCUGAGGCGCGCUGGGACAUUUUCCACCUGCUCAGAUGCU